GAUGAACGCUGGCGGCGUGCUUAACACAUGCAAGUCGAACGGUGAAGGCGGAGCUUGCUCUGCUGGAUCAGUGGCGAAAGGGUGAGUAACACGUGAGCAAUCUGCCCCUGACUCUGGGAUAAGCGCUGGAAACGGCGUCUAAUACUGGAUACGAGCUGCGAAGGCAUCUUCAGCAGCUGGAAAGAAUUUCGGUCAGGGAUGAGCUCGCGGCCUAUCAGCUUGUUGGUGAGGUAAUGGCUCACCAAGGCGUCGACGGGUAGCCGGCCUGAGAGGGUGACCGGCCACACUGGGACUGAGACACGGCCCAGACUCCUACGGGAGGCAGCAGUGGGGAAUAUUGCACAAUGGGCGAAAGCCUGAUGCAGCAACGCCGCGUGAGGGACGACGGCCUUCGGGUUGUAAACCUCUUUUAGCAGGGAAGAAGCGAAAGUGACGGUACCUGCAGAAAAAGCGCCGGCUAACUACGUG
rnacentral:rRNA from 1 species